AGAGCGAACGCUGGCGGCAGGCCUAACACAUGCAAGUCGAGCGCGUGUAGCAAUACACGAGCGGCAGACGGGAGAGUAACACGUGGGAACGCGCCCUUCGGUUCGGAAUAACUCAGGGAAACUUGAGCUAAUACCGGAUACGCCCUUACGGGGAAAGAUUUAUUGCCGAAGGAACGGCCCGCGUCCGAUUAGCUAGUUGGUGAGGUAACGGCUCACCAAGGCGACGAUCGGUAGCUGGUCUGAGAGGAUGACCAGCCUCACUGGGACUGAGACACGGCCCAGACUCCUACGGGAGGCAGCAGUGGGAAUAUGGACAAUGGGCGCAAGCCUGAUCCAGCCAUGCCGCGUGGAUGAUGAAGGCCUUAGGGUUGUAAAGUCCUUUUAACGGGGAAGAUAAUGACGGUACCGUAGAAUAAGCCCGGCUAACUUCGUGCCAGCAGCCGC
rnacentral:rRNA from 1 species